rfam:Triticum aestivum genome assembly, contig: Triticum_aestivum_CS42_TGACv1_scaffold_222331_3B
AUCUUCGCGCUUGGGGCAAUGACGUAGCUAAUGAGGUUAUACCGAGGCGUGUCAAUUGCUGGUUGAAAACUAUUUCCAAACCCCCUCUUCGACUCUCAUGGGUCGUUGAGAAUUUCUGGAAGGGUUCCCUCUUUGAGGGUAAAACC